GCAAAUAAGAAAAAAACAUUCAUCAGGCCGACCUCUCAUUACAUAUACUUCUGCUUGUUGUUUCCGUAGCAAUAAAGUGGCAGACAUUGGAACUGGUCUGUUGAGCCAUUGUUAUCAUCUCUGACCAUCUGCUACCGAAGGCUGACAUUCCAUCUCAUUUGCAUGGUAACUGAUAUGGGGGGAGGAGAGAUUGUGGGUGGAGUGGGAUGGGGGUAAAGGGGGGGUGCUCAGAAGGACAUAUGCCCAAACACCCAUCACAACAAUAUACAAGCAGAAGUUUAGGUUUUUUUAAGCAUGCAAUUCCACGCACAUGCAUGCACAUGUUAGAAAAAGCAGGAUAAAUCAGUGUGUGCAUGUGGAGAGUGAUGAGAAAGGAAAAAAACUGUUCCUCCCUUCCGUGCGCCGGUUUUUAUAUUUUGCGGAUGUGGAAGUGGAGUGAAGUGUGUGUGUGUGUGUGUGUGUGUGUGGUAGUGGAGGGGUUGCUGUUGAUGUGCAAAUGUGCAUCAUAUUGAGUGCUUGUGAAUAGGGAGGUGUCACGUAGAAAGAGAGCAGAACGCAGGUGCUUAUCUCGGGGCUGUCACAGAACUAGUGUGUCAUAUUCCUGGGGACUACCUUUCAAAAGCUACCGGCUCCAGCACUAGAGCAUCAGCCGAGCAGGGACCACAGAUUCCGCAGCUAACUUUCAGCAUCAGUCAAGUAGAGCAUGAAUGUCACACUCACAUCUUAGAACAGCUGAAGUGACGUGUGUGCAGUAACCAGAGCAGCCCGUGGGGACCACGCAGAACUUCUUAUUCAUUACAGGCCAAACAAACUAAGAUGGAGUCUGACAGUGAAGAGAAUCGCAGUGAAACAUGCGAUGUUCUGCCUGACUGCAUCGCUGAGGCGCCCAGCUUGUAUCUCGGAACGGGUAAAAAGCGGGCGGCCGCAGAAGGGGCCCGCGGGGCCCCGGUCAACAAGAGGAAAUCGCUCCUGAUGAAGCCCCGCCACUACAGUCCUAGUCCCUGCCCCAGCGAGGAAGACCUGGCAAGCGCUCAAGACAAAGACGCGCCCAGGAACACUGACACUCCAGCAGGUAGACAGAUGUCCUGUUGUUUUGUCUGUUUUGAUGAACAAUUGACGCUGAAUUUUAAACUACCAUCUGUUGCAUUCAUUUAUUUGUUUCCCUCCUCCUCCUCCUCCUUCGUCUCCUCUCCCCCCUCCCUCCCCGCAUCCGUCUCUUCGUCCAUCCCGGGGAAGUUCACGACAGUCGAUUCCCGUUCGUUUUUUCAUGCAUCCGGUGUCCAGAUUAAGGCGAUUUCCUGCGCUCGGCUUCUUUGAAACCCGGAUUAAAAACUGGCGGCGGCGGGUUGAUUAUGCAGCCUGGAAAAGUGCUUUUUUAUAAGCAAGUGUGGUUGCUUGCAUAAUUAUGCAAAUAGGGUAACUGAGAAUAGAAUGCACCAAAUUAUAUUGUGCCUCGUUGACAAAAGAGAGUGAUCAUACACUCCAACAACAAAACAUUUUUGGCAACGAAGGCACGGAAACGUUAAAGUCGAUAUUACGUUUUAAAGCAGUCUCCUUUCUAGAAACAAAAUGCUGCCAUCUCCUAAUGAAUCAAAUUAUGAGCAUGUUGGCAACAAUACCCAUGCUUUACAUGUGUACCUCCACACCCCUAUAAUCUGCACUUAUUUGGUAUAUUUUUAACGAUGUAACCAAGCAACAAACGUAAUUGUCCCUUUCGAAAGCUUUUGUUAGACCAUCGAACACAGCCCAAAUAUACAUAAUUAGGCAUAAUGUGUGCGGCUCAUUAUUGGACACAUGUGGGUUGUUAAAUGGACAACAAAAUAGCUCAAUAAAUUGAACAGCAUCAUUGGAAAUGGAAUUUAU
ensembl:lncRNA